CGAAGCAGACCAGAUGGCCGCCGUCCCCGUAGCCUCGUGCGAAGGGGAGGGAGGAAAGUCCGGGCUCCACAGGGCAUGGUGCUGGAUAACGUCCAGCGGGGGCAACCCCAGGGAUAGUGCCACAGAGAGAAGUCCGCCCACCAAGCGGGGCAAUAGGGGGCUAGCCCCCCGAAGCCUUGGCGAAGGGGGGUAAGGGUGAAAGGGUGAGGUAAGAGCUCACCGGGUUCGGCGGCGACGCCGGAUGCCAGGUAAACCCCACCAGGAGCAAGACCAAAUAGGGAAGCGUUAAGGACGGCCCGUCCGUGCUUCCGGGUUGGUUGCUUGAGGGUGUCGGCAACGGCACUCCUAGAUGAAUGACCAUCGCCCGCCGCCGGGUAACCGGCUGCGGGAACAGAACCCGGCUUACGGGCUGCUUCGGCCA
rnacentral:RNase_P_RNA from 1 species